AUUGAACGCUGGCGGCAGGCCUAACACAUGCAAGUCGAGCGGAUGAAGGGAGCUUGCUCCUGGAUUCAGCGGCGGACGGGUGAGUAAUGCCUAGGAAUCUGCCUGGUAGUGGGGGAUAACAUCCGGAAACGGGCGCUAAUACCGUAUACGUCCUGAGGGAGAAAGUGGGGGAUCUUCGGACCUCACGCUAUCAGAUGAGCCUAGGUCGGAUUAGCUAGUUGGUGGGGUAAAGGCCUACCAAGGCGACGAUCCGUAACUGGUCUGAGAGGAUGAUCAGUCACACUGGAACUGAGACACGGUCCAGACUCCUACGGGAGGCAGCAGUGGGGAAUAUUGGACAAUGGGCGAAAGCCUGAUCCAGCCAUGCCGCGUGUGUGAAGAAGGUCUUCGGAUUGUAAAGCACUUUAAGUUGGGAGGAAGGGCAGUAAGUUAAUACCUUGCUGUUUUGACGUUACCAACAGAAUAAGCACCGGCUAACUUCGUG
rnacentral:rRNA from 1 species